rnacentral:tRNA from 1 species
GCACGAGUGGCUCAGUUGGUGGAGCACGACCUUGCCAAGGUCGGGGCCGCGGGUUCGAGUCCCGUCUCGUGCUC